rnacentral:lncRNA from 1 species
AAAAAAAGCUAGAGAUCCAUGUGUAUAAAUAUAAGUAGGAGUAUCAUUUUUGUUCCUUUUGCUUGGAUAUACAAUACAUACUGAGUAGUGAUAUGGUCGGCUGACUGCUGAAAGGCAUCCUUAAGGGUGCAAGAAUAAAGAUAUCAAUCAAUGUAGGUUUGCAACUGUAAACCUUCCUGUAUGCCAAGGACGUGUCCAGGUGCCAGGCAAAGAGGACCUUCUGUUACACUGAACAGGGGGAAGAUAAAACAUAUUCAACUCUAUUCUAGAGAAUCUUCUUGCUUCUGAAAAUUAUGUUGCUUUGUGGAAGUAGAAAUGACAAAUAAUUCUGGCUGCCUCUGCAGAGUGUUCUGACUUGUGAACAAACGACAACUGAACAAGGAGAUUUUGCCUAAUGCCAUUCCAACGCUCUCUAGCCAGCACAACCCGAUUUGCAGGCGCAGGAGCAAGCUGGUGUUUUACUCCGAUGCAGCCCUCUGUAAUAUGUGCGGAUCAAAUGUUCAUUAUUCAGGCAGAGGAAAUAUGACAUCUCAAUUAGGCAGGGAGUUGUUCGUGGUUGUGUGUAUGCUGUAUGGAGGUAAUGUGUUAGGCAG